rnacentral:rRNA from 1 species
CCUACGGGGGGCUGCAGUGGGGAAUUUUGGACAAUGGGGGCAACCCUGAUCCAGCCAUGCCGCGUGAGUGAAGAAGGCCUUCGGGUUGUAAAGCUCUUUCAGCCGGGAAGAAAUCGCAUCAGCUAAUACCUGGUGUGGAUGACGGUACCGGAAUAAGAAGCACCGGCUAACUACGUGCCAGCAGCCGCGGUAAUACGUAGGGUGCGAGCGUUAGUCGGACGUACUGAGGGUGUUGCGUGCGCAGGGCGUUGAAUCCCCGGGCUCAACCUGGGAAGUGCGUUUGUGACUGCACAGCUAGAGUAUGGCAGAGGGGGGUGGAAUUCCACGUGUAGCAGUGAAAUGCGUAGAGAUGUGGAGGAACACCGAUGGCGAAGGCAGCCCCCUGGGCCAAUACUGACGCUCAUGCACGAAAGCGUGGGUAGCAAACAGGAUUAGAUACCCGAGUAGUC